rnacentral:rRNA from 1 species
AACGAACGCUGGCGGCAUGCCUAACACAUGCAAGUCGAACGAGACCUUCCGGUCUAGUGGCGCACGGGUGCGUACCGCGUGGGAACCUGCCCUUAGGUUAGGAAUACUUCCCCGAAGGGGGUGCUAAUACCGGUUAAUGUCUUCGGACCAAGGAUUUCUCGCCUUUGGAUGGGGCCGGGUUGGAUUAGCUGGUUGGUAGUGUAAAAGCCACCCAAGGGCUCGAUCCAUGGCUGGUCGGAGAGGAGGCUCAGCCACACUGGGACUGAGACACGGCCCAGACUCGUACGCGGGGGUGCAGUGGGGAAUACUGUACACGGGGCCAAAGUCUGAUCCAGCAACGCCGGGGGAGAGAUGAAGGCCGUAGGGUUGCAAAGCUCUUUUAGCCGGGAUGUGAAUGACAGUACCGGGAGAAUAAGCACCGGCUAACUCCGUG